AUCCAGUUGCCAUCGGGCGAGCCGGGCACUCUAGGAGGGACUGCCGGCGACAAGCCGGAGGAAGGUGGGGAUGACGUCAAGUCAUCAUGGCCCUUAUGUCCAGGGCGACACACGUGCUACAAUGGCCGGCACAGCGGGAAGCGGAGGGGCGACCCUGAGCGGAAUCCCUUGAAAGCCGGUCCCAGUUCGGAUUGCAGUCUGCAACUCGACUGCAUGAAGUUGGAAUCGCUAGUAAUCGCGGAUCGGCCAAGCCGCGGUGAAUACGUUCCCGGGCCUU
rnacentral:rRNA from 1 species